GGAGGAUGGUUGAAUGUGGCUUGGUGGCCACAACUGGAGAGGCACAGAGACGGUGGCGAACACCGUGAUCAAGAGCAGCCGGUUAGGUGGAGCUUGGGCGUCUUUCGCACAGAAGUGAUCUUUGCUGUCUAGAUCUUUUGGGAUGGGGCAAUCAGAACAGCAUGAAAACUUGCACUGUACUUUACAGAAAUGAAAAGACUCAGACCCUACCACAAAAAGCUUACAGUUUCAAUGAGACCCUCUCAGGAAUGACCACAACAGCUGAAAGAAAAGGAGGUGAUUGCUGAGCUGGUGCUCCCUCCAAGUGCAAAUAAACAAGAUGUGGGACACAUGUUCUGGAUA